UGAGUAACACGUGGGGAACCUGCCCCAUAGUCUGGGAUACCACUUGGAAACAGGUGCUAAUACCGGAUAAGAAAGCGGAUCGCAUGAUCAGCUUUUAAAAGGCGGCGUAAGCUGUCGCUAUGGGAUGGCCCCGCGGUGCAUUAGCUAGUUGGUAAGGUAACGGCUUACCAAGGCAACGAUGCGUAGCCGACCUGAGAGGGUGAUCGGCCACACUGGAACUGAGACACGGUCCAGACUCCUACGGGAGGCAGCAGCC
rnacentral:rRNA from 1 species